AACACGCGGAGCACACACCAACGCAAGACAGUCUGCGAGAACGGGCAGCAUCCCCGAAAGGUCGCCUGGCCACGGCUCCGAGCACCGGGGAGAAACCAAGCACCGGGGGAGAAGCAGCCCGGGAGGGAGAGAGACGACCUGGCAGCCCGCAAGGAAAACCAACACCGUGACGCCUCCCCGCCAUGUGCCGCAGCUCCGCUAGAACCGCCUUCUAUAACCGGCGUCCGGGCCCUCCACCCUGCGGUACCGGUCGCCGCCCAAGCGCGCCGCCUCCGGCCCGAUCUAAGCGUCCCUCGGGGCCGCGGGUCCCCGCACGGCGCAGCGUCCGGCCUAGGCCCAGCGCGGGAGGCCGUGGCGCCGCGCGAGCCGAGGCCACACCGACCCGCCCCGCAGCGCGGCCCAGCCCCUCCACCCGCCGUACCUGAGAGGGAGCGCGACCCGGCCGCCUAGUCCGGGGGCGCGAGGCGAGGCGCGGGUCUGUCACAGCAUCUCCUGGGAGACGCGGCCGGGCGCGCGCUCCUUCGAUCGCCGGCCUGGGGCCCGCACACCGCUCAGCUGUGAAUACGCAGCCGCCUUCCCCGUCGCGGGCCCAGCGCUCCUCCUCCUUCUCCUCCUCCUCGCGGCUCUGCUGCCUCGGCCCGGACAGCGCGGGCGCCGAUCAGCGCAUGACCCCGGGCGGACGGAGCGAGUCCCACACACACCCAGGCAGGGCGGGAGGGGGCGGAGGGGACGGGGAGGCCCCAGAGGGAGGGGACCCGGGAGGAGAUCGCGGCUGCCGGGAUCGGAGUUCUCGCGAGCGUUCCGGACCGGGGCGCCGGCUCCGCGGGAAUUUCAAACUUCCUGUGAGAGGAGGAGGAGGAGGCAGGGAAAGGGAGGCCACGUCGAGAAGAGCGGCUUAGAUCCGGAUCUUUUUCAGGCAAGCUUUGGAUGCUCUCACCAGCGCGAGGCACGGGGCAAUGAACUCUUGGUCCUCCUCAGACCAGUGCACAUCCCGACUGCUUGGAAAGCCCAACAUCUCCUCCUCAUCACCACCACAGCUGUCAGAGCUGUCCUCCUCAGAGUCAUGCAGGAGUCCCAAGUAAGGGUUACACUCUUCCACAGCCUGCUCCAUAUCUUCAUGUGCAUCUUUCACAAAAUCCACUCUUUGUCAUUAUUAAAAGAGCUGCAGCUUUGUUAUCUCUUGGUAUCUGAGGCACCUGCUGGCACACAUUCCAGACACUGUUGCAGGAAAUAAGGUCUGUUCUCAGGGUUCUGAGCUGGAGCGAUAAGUACUUCCACGAGCUGAGCCAUGCCGUCCACGAUGUCCAGAGUGGUGCCCCGUACAAGCUUUCUCGGGGUGAUCCUUGGUCCUUGGGAAGUGCGUAGUAUACUGCAGCAAUUGCCUUGAUGGCAGCAUGGACUUGCUCACAUAUCCCGUUGGUUUCCUGUGGAGAGAGCCGCGGCAGUGGAGGGACCAUGGUCAGGGUCGUGGCUUCCCAAGCCACAGUCACGUCCGUCUCAUACAGUCUCCUCCAAAACCGCUCGCGAUCACACUCCUCGGGGGCCUCGCGGGGUUCACCGACUGCAGGGCGUGGCGAGAGAGCCAUAAUUUUUGUUCUUUUAUUGACAGCAACCUCCGCAAAGUACUGUGCUAAAUUGUCGCAGAGAAGGAGUUUGGUGUGUGAGAGGCUGCUGCUGCAGGUGGUAAAAGAAUUAACCAAUAGUCAAAGAAUUUAGAAGAGUUAAAGAGUUUAUUGAUAAUCUGCAGGAGAGCAGUGGAUGGGGCUAAGAAAGGACCGCACUCUCAAGGUAAAAGGCUGAGAUUGUUAUAAGGGUUUGAGGACAUGAAAAGGAUAUAGAGUGAUCAAAAGAAGCAUCAGGAGGCUUUUAGGUCAGCCUGCAAUCUUUAUCUCACAGGAGCACCGUAUUAGGUUAAUAGUUAUACAUUAAAGGCGCCAAUUUAACAUGGUCCACUAUUUUGGUUCUCACAAAAGGCCCUCGAGGCUUAGAAUAAG
rnacentral:lncRNA from 1 species